AUUGAACGCUGGCGGCAGGCCUAACACAUGCAAGUCGAGCGAGCGGCGGACGGGAGAGUAAUGUAUGGGGACUGCCCGAUAGAAGGGGAUAACUACUGGAAACGGUAGCUAAUACCGCAUAAUGUCGGAUAACCCAUAUGGGAGUAGCUAGUAGGUGAGGUAAUGGCUCACCUAGGCGACGAUCCCUAGCUGGUCUGAGAGGAUGAUCAGCCACACUGGAGCUGAGACACGGCCCAGAGUCCUGCGGAGGCACCAGUGGGGAAUAGUGCGCAAUGGGCGCAAGCCUGAUGCAGCGCUGCCGCGUGUAUGAAGAAGGCCCUGGGGUUGUAAAGUACUUUCAGUCGGGAGGCGUUAUCGACAGAAGAAGCACCGGCUAACUCCGUGCCAGCAGCCGCGGUAAUUC
rnacentral:rRNA from 1 species